rnacentral:lncRNA from 1 species
CAUUUACAUGGUAGACCAACGAGACACAGUUGCUGUCCAUAAUCCUAAAUCAUUUGUAAUUAUAAAACAUUACUCUUCAUGGGGAGACUAAUAGGAAAUAUUGCCCAGUACCCCAGAUUUCUGUAUCCCGCUAGAAACUUCUCUCACCAGCCUCUGCUGGAUUUAAAGAUGAAAGCCUUUUUGUCAUGGUGCUCCAUGAACAGUCAGACACAAGCAAGAAGUUCAGCCCCAUAAAUAACAGACACACUAGAAAACCAUAUUUUCCCCCUGCCACAUCUGUCAGGAAAAAGGGAAAAAUGGGACAACUACCAAGCUGGCAUGCAGGGCAGUUCCCUGUUCUGCUGGCAGUAUGUUCCAGUAAGAGCCUUGAAAGCUAAUCUCAUUUUCUUGUUAGUUUCCAGCCUCUUGAUCAGUGCAGAUGCGGGACCCUUCAGUACAAUCUCACGACUGGGAUGAGAAGUGGCCCGGAGAAUCCAUUAGCUCUCCAAACCCCGUGGACUGUGUUUAUCGCCUGGCAGAUAAGGGACAAAUUGAAGAAGAAAUCUGAGUCUUCUUCCCACUCUGCCUAGACACAUCUUACUCUUCACCGCUGCAAGUUUCGCGCACCGCUUCCCAGCCAGGUCUGCUCCCCUUCCACCCCACCCUCCUCUCCGUCCCUGGAUUUCCCCUCACGGAGUUCUUCCGAGCCGCUGUAGCAGCAGGCGAGGCUCGGGGCCCCGCUCCGGACCGCGCGGCUCCAGAGCCGCCCCGGGGGCUCGUUUGGGGCUGGGAACACGAGGGGACCCUUCUAUCCCGGGAGCCGCAGAGGAGUUGGCUUCCAACGCUACCGGUCCUGCCGGAGGACGCCCUAAAGGAAGCAGGACGAAGGAGUGAAGACUGCCGGGGUCACUUUCAAUUGAGACUGUCUCCCUCCAUUGGAACAGUGACAGCUCUUCCUGGUGGUAUUUCUAAGCUCAUAUGCAGGAUGUUGAAGAGACUGUCUCACACAAAAGUCUUCAAAGGCUGCAGGGACUUCUUUGGCAGUGAGAACUAAAGCAUGACUGCCAUCCAGGAAGUGACUGGUUUUUUCCUUCCAUUUCCCUGAAAAACUUGUGAAAUUCCUGAGAAGCACAACUUUUUUCUGAAGUUCUGAAGAUUUUUUCUGAGUUCUGAAGCUCAUAUGAACAAAAAGGAGGACAUUUUUUUUUUUAGCUCUGC